CAAUUAUAUGUAUAUGUUCUUGUUUCUAGCCCUUACUUUAUGCCUGUUAUUCUCCUCUUGCAGAGGUUCCAGUUACUUAUUAAUAUCUUGGAUUGAUAUUCUGGCUCUGAUGCUCAGUAUCUGUGUGAUGGUGGCUGCUGCCACAGCUGUUCACUCCAGAGGGAGAAAGGUAAUCCCAGGGCUUGCGGCUGUUGCUGAUAAAUGACUACAGCAAUUAGAGGUAACAUCUAACCUGAUUAGUUUGCAAGAUAACAGAAUUUCAGUGU
rnacentral:lncRNA from 1 species